ensembl:lncRNA
GCAGGAUUAGCCAAGAAACUUUUGCUAAAAGAGUGCGCAAUUCCAAUUUUGCGUGGAAUACCUGCAGACGAGGGACAUGCAAGUAGUUCUAUACAAUUAGCUGUCUUUAUUUUGCAAUUCUACACGAACUAACCAAGAAGUGUUUUGGCAAACUAACAUUUUAGCUAGCUAGUGUUUUGCCACAUAGUACAAGGUAACGCUAACCGCUAGCUUCUAGCUAUUAUAAUAUUGUAUUUACAAACGGGAAUAUGUUAGCGUUGUUUAGACCAUUAGACCGUUACUACGCUCUCCCCGCUACCAUGGUAACAUUUAGAGUGGGCAUGGGCAAAGGAGCAGCAGCUAAUGAAUAUGCAAUGAGCAGCAGAAAACAGAACAUUUUGAAAGGGACUGAAACAGAGGGUAAUAGAGGGAGAACUGAGGUCGUCCCAGUGAAGUCAUCUUGACGGCAGAGAAGCAAUCCACUGAGAUCCCAUCUUUAUAAAGACUGUUUGGUCAUAAAGUCCUCCUCAACGCUGUAGUCCAGGAUGGAGCCCACUCCAUAAGCACCAUUCUUCUGAAUCAGAGGCUGGAUGGACUUGUGAUCCUGCUACAAACUGACCGUAGAAUGUCAUCUUCAUAAACUGCUGAAAGGCUGACUUUCCAAGUAACUUUCUUAUAUCCAGUAGGUAG